rnacentral:rRNA from 1 species
CAGUAGCCGCGGGAAUACGUAGGGUGCGAGCGUUAAUCGGAAUUACUGGGCGUAAAGCGUGCGCAGGCGGUUAUAUAAGACAGAUGUGAAAUCCCCGGGCUCAACCUGGGACCUGCAUUUGUGACUGUAUAGCUAGAGUACGGUAGAGGGGGAUGGAAUUCCGCGUGUAGCAGUGAAAUGCGUAGAUAUGCGGAGGAACACCGAUGGCGACGGCAAUCCCCUGGACCUGUACUGACGCUCAUGCACGAAAGCGUGGGGAGCAAACAGGAUUAGAUACCCCUGUAGUCCCUGUCUCUUAUAC